UGCAGAACUGGAUGGAGCAGACGGCGGCUGCAACCACGGCGACAGCAACAUGGGCGUUGGCGUCUGGCGGCUUCGUUUAGGCAAACAUGCUCGACUAGCUCACAGUUGCGAGAUGGCUCCUGUCAACUUUCGGAGAAAUGUGGAGUGUGACUCAAUGACAAAAGUCAAUUUAGCACUUCUAUUGCUAGGUUCAGAAACUUUUCAAACAAUACUGUACGCUAUUUUCAGCUGCGCUAGAAGACAAAGAAAGAAGAAAGAAGACGAACAAAAGACGAAGAAGGAGAAGAAGAAGAGCGGCGUGCUAAAGGUCACCGAGAAGUGCGAUCACACAGGCUGGAAGAUAAAGAGCCCGCUGAGAAAUAUCAAUUACGCCUUGACAUUUUCCACCCGGAGACAAAGGAUGCCCGUGAAAAGGAAGCGUCAUGGCGACCACCAACGUGGUCACAUCAGGAAUUGAUUGAGAUAUGUAACUGCUUUUUGUCCGUCCGUGCAGUUGUUGUGCAUCAGAUUUAGACAAAAACUGAUUAAAUCAAUUUCAAAUUGCUGGAAA